rnacentral:rRNA from 1 species
GAGGUUGAUCAUGGCUCAGGACGAACGCUGGCGGCGUGCCUAAUACAUGCAAGUAGAACGCUGAAGAGAGGAGCUUGCUCUUCUUGGAUGAGUUGCGAACGGGUGAGUAACGCGUAGGUAACCUGCCUUGUAGCGGGGGAUAACUAUUGGAAACGAUAGCUAAUACCGCAUAACAAUAGGUGACACAUGUCAUUUAUUUGAAAGGGGCAAUUGCUCCACUACAAGAUGGACCUGCGUUGUAUUAGCUAGUAGGUGAGGUAACGGCUCACCUAGGCGACGAUACAUAGCCGACCUGAGAGGGUGAUCGGCCACACUGGGACUGAGACACGGCCCAGACUCCUACGGGAGGCAGCAGUAGGGAAUCUUCGGCAAUGGGGGCAACCCUGACCGAGCAACGCCGCGUGAGUGAAGAAGGUUUUCGGAUCGUAAAGCUCUGUUGUAAGUCAAGAACGAGUGUGAGAGUGGAAAGUUCACACUGUGACGGUAGCUUACCAGAAAGGGACGGCUAACUACGUGCCAGCAGCCGCGGUAAUACGUAGGUCCCGAGCGUUGUCCGGAUUUAUUGGGCGUAAAGCGAGCGCAGGCGGUUUGAUAAGUCUGAAGUUAAAGGCUGUGGCUCAACCAUAGUUCGCUUUGGAAACUGUCAAACUUGAGUGCAGAAGGGGAGAGUGGAAUUCCAUGUGUAGCGGUGAAAUGCGUAGAUAUAUGGAGGAACACCGGUGGCGAAAGCGGCUCUCUGGUCUGUAACUGACGCUGAGGCUCGAAAGCGUGGGGAGCGAACAGGAUUAGAUACCCUGGUAGUCCACGCCGUAAACGAUGAGUGCUAGGUGUUGGAUCCUUUCCGGGAUUCAGUGCCGCAGCUAACGCAUUAAGCACUCCGCCUGGGGAGUACGACCGCAAGGUUGAAACUCAAAGGAAUUGACGGGGGCCCGCACAAGCGGUGGAACAUGUGGUUUAAUUCGAAGCAACGCGAAGAACCUUACCAGGUCUUGACAUCCCGAUGCUAUUUCUAGAGAUAGAAAGUUACUUCGGUACAUCGGUGACAGGUGGUGCAUGGUUGUCGUCAGCUCGUGUCGUGAGAUGUUGGGUUAAGUCCCGCAACGAGCGCAACCCCUAUUGUUAGUUGCCAUCAUUCAGUUGGGCACUCUAGCGAGACUGCCGGUAAUAAACCGGAGGAAGGUGGGGAUGACGUCAAAUCAUCAUGCCCCUUAUGACCUGGGCUACACACGUGCUACAAUGGUUGGUACAACGAGUUGCGAGUCGGUGACGGCAAGCUAAUCUCUUAAAGCCAAUCUCAGUUCGGAUUGUAGGCUGCAACUCGCCUACAUGAAGUCGGAAUCGCUAGUAAUCGCGGAUCAGCACGCCGCGGUGAAUACGUUCCCGGGCCUUGUACACACCGCCCGUC